UACCGCCUACGGGGCGCAGCAGUGGGGAAUAUUGCACAAUGGGGGGAACCCUGAUGCAGCAAUGCCGCGUGGGUGAAGAAGUACUCCGGUAUGUAAAGCCCUGUCAGCAGGGAAGAAAAUGACGGUACCUGACUAAGAAGCCCCGGCUAACUACGUGCCAGCAGCCGCGGUAAUACGUAGGGGGCGAGCGUUAUCCGGCUUUACUGGGUGUAAAGGGAGCGCAGGCGGCGUGGCAAGUCAGAUGUGAAAACCCGGGGCCCAACCCCGGUACUGCAUCUGAAACUGCCAUGCUGGAGUGCCGGUGG
rnacentral:rRNA from 1 species